rnacentral:lncRNA from 1 species
GAUACUUUCGAAUGGGCCCUUUACAAAUAAAAUCAAAGAAAAUGACAAUCCACCUCCAGAAAUGAAAUAACAAGGAAAAGAUGUUUCUAAAGUUGCACACAAAUUAUUUUGUGGCUGAAAUCAAGGUCAGAUGUUACACAAGCUAAAAGGAACAAAAUGUGAACCAUAUUCAGCUGUAGAAGAGCAGAAGGUAACAAUACUGAUGUCAAUAUUAUAAUGAAAGCAGCCAAAUAAGGUUCUGCAUAGUUUCUGAUGACUUUGUCACCAAAUCUUGAUUCUAUUCACAUAGAGCAAAUGCACAUCCUGAUAUGUGCAUAAUUACACUUCUGAAUGCAAGCUAUACAUCCUCACUAGUCACUGAUAUGUGCAUAAUUACACUUCUGAAUGCAAGCUAUACAUCCUCACUAGUCACUGAUAUGUGCAUAAUUACACUUCUGAAUGCAAGCUAUACAUCCUCACUAGUCACUGAUAUGUGCAUAAUUACACUUCUGAAUGCAAGCUAUACAUCCUCACUAGUCACUGAUAUGUGCAUAAUUACACUUCUGAAUGCAAGCUAUACAUCCUCACUAGUCACUGAUAUGUGCAUAAUUACACUUCUGAAUGCAAGCUAUACAUCCUCACUAGUCACUUGAAUAGCAGGGGGGAAAGUUUACGUGUACAUGGAUUAUGCAACAAGCCAAUCUAAUUGACAGAUAAUUGGGCCUAAGAGACUAUACUGCAUUAUAUUAGCUACAACUCUUCUAUAUGAGAUUAUCUUUCCACAACAAAAAUGUAAAAAAGCAAGUUAUUUUCUCUUCCUUCACCUCCAAAUGGAGUAAUGGACUGAGGUUUCUCCUAAAGUCUUACCCCAAAAAUCCCAGCUAUUUUGUUUUGCAGAGGGGAUGAAGUAGUAAACCAUGUAGUUUUCUG